UAGGGAAUCUUGCGCAAUGGGCGAAAGCCUGACGCAGCCAUGCCGCGUGAAUGAUGAAGGUCUUAGGAUUGUAAAAUUCUUUCACCGGGGACGAUAAUGACGGUACCCGGAGAAGAAGCCCCGGCUAACUUCGUGCCAGCAGCCGCGGUAAUACGAAGGGGGCUAGCGUUGCUCGGAAUUACUGGGCGUAAAGGGAGCGUAGGCGGAUAGUUUAGUCAGAGGUGAAAGCCCAGGGCUCAACCUUGGAAUUGCCUUUGAUACUGGCUAUCUUGAGUGUGGGAGAGGUAUGUGGAACUCCGAGUGUAGAGGUGAAAUUCGUAGAUAUUCGGAAGAACACCAGUGGCGAAGGCGACAUACUGGCCCAUUACUGACGCUGAGGCUCGAAAAGCGUGGGGAGCAAAACAGGAUUAGAUACCCUGGUAGUCCACGCCGUAAACGAUGAAUGCUAGUUGUCGGCAUGCAUGCAUGUCGGUGACGCAGCUAACGCAUUAAGCAUUCCGCCUGGGGAGUACGGUCGCAAGAUUAAAAACUCAAAGG
rnacentral:rRNA from 1 species